GGACGCGGUCUCCUUACCUCAUUUGUCCUCGCCCCUCCCCGUCCCUCUACGCGUUUUGGUCCCUGUUUGGUGCUUUCUGUUUGCAGCUACGGCAAUCUGGGCAUAGGAACCAACCAGAAACAAUCGCUUCAGCAAUCAAGACCAUUGUUCAUCAUGGAGGAACCCAUAGAUACCUCUGAGCCUCUAUCUGCAUUACCAUUCACUGGGCAGCAGUCUUUUGAGCCAAGUGGCAAAUUUGGACAGUAUCCAUCCAAUGCAGAUGAACCACAUCCAGGCACUGGGGAGGUGGAGGACAUAGAACAGCUCAAUCAGUGUUUGAUCCAACACUUCCAUCUCAUUAAGACAAGUUUGAUUUUUCUUUGCUUUUUAUUUCAUGGAAUACAUGAGAAUCUCUUAACUGUUGGAGUUUCCAAGGAGGCAUACCUCAUGACUUCAGUUAAUGGAAAGAACAAAACUAAAAUGCUGUAUGGCCAAAGCCACAAAGGGAAGGAUCCGCAAUUUACAUCCUUGGAGCUAUUAUCUGUACUGUACUGUUGUGAUCUACUGAUUGGCAUUGGCAUAGUAGUAGGGGUCAAGUGAC
rnacentral:lncRNA from 1 species